UGGGGAAUUUUGGGCAAUGGGCGCAAGCCUGACCCAGCGACACCGCGUGGGGGACGAAGGCCCUCGGGUCGUAAACCCCUGUCAGGAGGGACGAAGCUGCAAGGUGACGGUACCUCCAGAGGAAGCCCCGGCUAACUACGUGCCAGCAGCCGCGGUAAGACGUAGGGGGCGAGCGUUGUCCGGAAUUACUGGGCGUAAAGCGCGUGCAGGCGGUCUGCUAAGUCCUGUGUAAAAUCUCCCGGCUCAACCGGGAGGCGCCGCGGGAUACUGGCGGGCUUGAGUGCAGCAGAGGAAAGUGGAAUUCCCGGUGUAGCGGUGGAAUGCGUAGAUAUCGGGAGGAACACCAGUGGCGAAGGCGGCUUUCUGGGCUGUAACUGACGCUGAGGCGCGAAAGCGUGGGGAGCAAACCGGAUUAGAUACCCGGGUAGUCCACGCCCUAAACUGUGGACACUAGGUGUGGGGGGUAUCGACCCCCUCCGUGCCGAAGCUAACGCAAUAAGUGUCCCGCCUGGGGACUACGGCCGCAAGGUUA
rnacentral:rRNA from 1 species